rnacentral:rRNA from 1 species
GUGGACUCUCAAGCGUGAGGUAAGGGCAUUUGGUGGAUGCCUUGGCAUGCACAGGCGAUGAAGGACGUGGCACGCUGCGAUAAGCGUCGGUGAGGUGUGAGCAACCUUUGACCCGACGAUUUCCGAAUGGGGAAACCCACCUUCACCAUUUACUCAGCUGCUGAGCGAUCAGUGGCUGGGUAAAUGGGAACGAAGGUAUCACUGAAGUGAAUACAUAGCUUUGGUGAAGCGAACCCGGAGAACUGAAACAUCUCAGUACCCGGAGGAAAAGACAUCAA